CCUAACACAUCACCCUCAUCCCAUUCACAGCCAACCCCCAUCACCACUAUUCCAAUUAAAGCCAUCCAUUUGCACUCAUUGAUUUACAACCAUUCCUUGACCACCAUCUCAUUUAUACUAUACCAGCUCCAUCUACAUUGGAGGAAUCGAGUGGGCCUGAAUGGGAUGGAGCGGAGUAAAGUGCAGGGUUUGUGGAAUGGAUGUUAUUGGGGGGAUAGUGAAGAGAUGAAGGGGUGAGGAGUGUUUCAGGAGCGAGGGAACAUUCAGGAGUGGGAGUGGUUGAGGGGAUUAAUGAGGGACUCAUGAAGGUGGGCCACAAGUGGUUAAUAAAUCAAAGACUAACCAGUUAAUGAAGAUUAACAAAGGACAGUUGUUAAUUGAUAGUUUUACGUAGCAGCACAGAAGUAUAGUUAGUGCACUGCUGUACUGUGACAGUGAACACUGAUCGGAUUUAAUUCACUUGCUGCCUGAACAAAGUUUAUAAAUUCUCACUGUGACAGUGCAGGGAUUGCAAUGAGCGAAUGAAGUGAACCCAAGUGCAGGACACAGGCAUGGAGAAUGAGUUAAAAUGCUUACGCUGACGUGAAUGUUGAACAGCAAACAGGAGGGAUCUUGACACGGAGCCUGGACACGGAGAGUCUGAGUUUCAUAGGUAAACCUUGAAAAUGGAGCUCUUAGAACACGUGGUCCUAAGUGGCUGGGAAACGUUAAUCACCACACAGGCAAAACCAACGAUCUGGUGACUAGUGGUUGUAACGCCGGGUUCUUAUGCUGCAGGCCUUGAUGGAAACCAGCUGUGUCGUCAUCAAAGAGAAUUAGAAGCAAAUGGGAAAUUAAUGGUCAGAACCGUGCACAAUCAAAGAAAAUUAGGACAAAGAUAGAGAAUUAAUGAUCAGGACCAUGACAGCAGCCCCCCAAUGGGAGCCUCCAGGCGAACCACCAGGCUUGUCUGGAUUGGUCGAUGGAAAUCAUGGAAGGGUCCAGGAUGAAGGAGCGGGGAAUCCAGGAGCGUUCCUCUGUAUCCCUCCCAAUCGACCAGCCAGUGCCUCCACUCCUCCAAAGCGAAUUUGACGGCCAGUAACUCCCGGUUCCCUACGUCGUAGUUCCGUUCGGCAGGGGACAGCCAGUGAGAAAAGAAGGUGCAAGGAUGGAGUUUUUGGUCUGGGCCAGAGCGUUGGGAGAGGACCCCAGAGGCGUCGACUUCCACAAUGAAUUGGACCAAGAUGGGAGCGGAGGUGAAACGCCUCUUCAGCUCUGAGAGGGAGUACGUGGAUGACUGCAGUUCGAACACCAAGGAGCAAUGCGGAAGGAAGGCUCGGCACUUCCCCACAUCCCCAGCGUAGUGCUCUGGUUCAGAUGCUGCCUGGCCGGCUGAGUGACUUGUCACUGAUUUGAUUGACGUAAACUUCGCAUUUCACUCUGCUACCAUCUGGGAAACGGCACCGCAGCAUAAAAGCCAGGACCAGCAGGCUCCGGGACAGCUUCUUCCACCAGGCCAUCAGACCGAUUAACUCACGCUGAUACGCUGCCUGGCCUGCCGAAUUCCUCCAGCAUUUUGUGUGUGUUGCUUGGGUUUCCAGCAUCUGCAGAUUUUCUCAUCGUUGCUCUACAGAUGUCCUGUGGGGAGUAUUCUGACUGGCUGCAUCUCUGUUUGCUAUGGUAACAUCAAUGCACAGGUUCAGAGAAAGCUGCAGAUGGUUAUAAACUCAGACACAUUCAUCAUGGGCACCGUCCUCCCCAACAUGGCUGACGCCUUCAAAAGAUGAUGCCUUUAGGAGACAUCAACCUUCAUAAUGACUCUCAGCACCCAGGACAUGUCCUCUUUUCAUUAAUAUCAGCAGGUGGGAGGUACAGGAGCCUGUAGACACACACUCAGCAUUUUAAAACCAGUUUCUUCUUCUCCAUUCCACAAAUGGUCCAUAAACCCAUGAACACUACCUCACCGUUUUACUCUCUUUUUGCAUUAAAAUAUAUAUGUGUGUUUUUUUUCUAGUUUAAUAUUUCUUAUUGCAACCUGUAGUAAUUUCUAAAAUUGUACUGUUGUCGUAAAACAACAAAUUACACAACAUAGCUCAAUGAUAAUGAACAUAAUAUUGAUUCUAAAUACUCUGCUACUGUUAUGGUGGUGGGUAUGUGGAUCAAGCUGCCAGAGGAAAUGGAAGAGGCUAGUGCAAUUAGAAAGGUUUAGGGGGAUACGGACAGGUACACGGAUAGGAAAGGUUUAGAGGGAUAUGGACAGGUACACGGAUAGGAAAGGUUUAGAGGGAUACGGACAGGUACACGGAUAGGAAAGGUUUAGAGGCAUACGGACAGGAACACAAAUAGGAAGGGUUUAGAGGGAUAUGGACAGGUACAGGGAUAGGAAAGGUUUAGAGGGAUACGGACAGGUACACGGAUAG